rnacentral:sRNA from 1 species
GGAUCGCGUGGAGUGACGGUCACACCGCGGCGAAUUAAUUUCCAAAGACUCAUGUUACAUGAGAAAGCCACCAAGAAGACCAAAGAAAAGGAGACAAGGAUGGCUCUUCCUCAGGGAUGCUUGACUUUCAGGGAUGUGGCUAUAGAAUUCUCUUUGGAGGAGUGGAAAUGCCUGAACCCUGCACAGAGGGCUUUAUACAGGGCCGUGAUGUUGGAGAACUACAGGAACCUGGAGUCUGUGGGUGAGGAAAAUGUCCCUCCUGAUGUGAGGAAUCUGCCCUUGUCUAUCUUGGCUCUUCCUGGUUUUGUAUUCUCUUUUGUGAUUUUGCUGCAUACAUGCUUUUGAUGUACAUGUCAUUGUUUUCUGCAGUGAUGAUCCUCCUGUCUGUCAUAGACAGCUUCUUAGAGACUCUCCUAUGGAGUGGUUUUACAUAAAAACAGAACAUUCAUGAACCCUUUGACUAAUAGAAUUGAACGUCAUCCUGCUCUAAGCAGAGAUGCCCCUGGUAGCCCUGAGCAGAAUUGUCAGGGUGGCCCAGGAGAUGAGCUAGAAAGCAUGACAGUGACUGACAAGUGUUUCCAGCUGUGAUUCUGCUUUUGUUUUGUUUUGUUUUUUGAGACAGAGUCUCCCUCUCUUGCUCAGGCUGGAGUGCACUGUUGUGAUCUCAGCUCAUUGCAACUUCCGCCUCCUGCAUUCAAGCAAUUCUCAUACCUCAGCCUCCCAACCUAACUGGAAUUACAGAUGCAAGUCACCAUACCUUGCUAAUUUUUGUAUUUUUAUUAGAGAUGGGGAAUCACCAUGUUGGCCAGGCUGGUCUCAAACUCCUUGUCUCAAGCAAUCUGCCCACCUCAGCCUCUAGCCAAGUGUUGGGAUUACAAACCUGAGCCACCACCCUUGGCCUUUUGUUCUGGUUUUUAAGGAGCAUCACAGAAGCAUC